GUUUCCGUCCCCUUGCGGGGAAAAGAUAGGAAAUAAC
rfam:Planktothrix serta PCC 8927 isolate BBR_PRJEB10992 genome assembly, scaffold: BBR_A_PL8927_scaffold50